AGCUCAAAUUUAAAAUCUGGCAGUCUUUUUGGCUGUCCGAGUUGUAAUUUGUAGAGGAUGUUUUGGGUACCGCGCUGGUUUAAAUUUCUUGGAACAGAAUGUCAGAGAGGGUGAGAAUCCCGUCUUGGACCGGCGUAGGGCCCGUGUAAAACUCCUUCGAC
rnacentral:rRNA from 1 species